CGCUCUGAAUCAUGUGCGUGUGCAUGUGAGUGUGCGUCAGUGUGUGUGCAUUCGUCAGUGUGUGUGUCUGUGUGUGUGUGUGUGUGUGUGUGCAUGUGAGUGUGUGUGUGUUCAUGUGUGUGUGUGUGUGUGUAUGCGUCUGUGUGUGUGCGCAUGCAUUCGUGGUAUGGGGGAAUUCCGAAAAGAUCAGCAAUCAGAAGUUACCAUGGUUAUAGAAAAUAUCAUGUCCGAUCACCCUAGUAUGCUCUACAGUUGCACGAGGUUGCAUUAACGUGAUCACUAUCUUAGUUUACAUUUAAUUGAAGUCUAUUCGUUACUUCUUCUUGAAGCAGAAGUGCUUGAUUUGAUUUGUUGGUGUUCGUGUUUUGUGAGAAUGAAGGACUUGUUUAGGUCCUGUAUAAACUUAUAGGCAUGGGGAACUAUUGAUGAAGAGCAUGGGGCCAUUGAUCAUCAGUGCUGAUCCAUACAGAGGAACCCUGUGGUGGAGCAACGGUUGAUUAGAUGACUGAUCUGUCCACAAGCUGCUGCGUUGUUUGCAGUAUUCCAGUGUGCUAAGUCUGGGCGUGGCCGGCCAACCAGUAGAGUCAGCGUGUGUCCCGAGGCUCAAACCUUGCGGUACACACAACAAGAAGAGCCACAUAACAACGGACAUAUUAAAGCACCUGGAUACACAGGGAACCCCCCCCCCCCCCCCACACACACACACACACACAAAGACUUACUCACAAAUACAGAACAGGCGUGCAUGGGGUCCAUGCAUGCCUUUAAUGCGGGAGAAUGUUCAUGACAUUGAGCAAGAGAGAAAGAGAGACGGGGAGAUCGUAUAUUCAUGUGUCAAUCUCAUACCUCGAACGUAAAGACUUCCUGAUCCCCGAUUAAAGCGUGAUUCAACCU